UACGGAGGGGGCUAGCGUUGUUCGGAAUUACUGGGCGUAAAGCGUGCGCAGGCGGUUAUGCAAGACAGACGUGAAAUCCCCGGGCUUAACCUGGGAACCGCAUUUGUGACUGCAUAGCUGGAGUACGGCAGAGGGGGAUGGAAUUCCGCGUGUAGCAGUGAAAUGCGUAGAUAUGCGGAGGAACACCGAUGGCGAAGGCAGUCCCCUGGGCCUGUACUGACGCUCAUGCACGAAAGCGUGGGGAGCAAACAGG
rnacentral:rRNA from 1 species